GACGAACGCUGGCGGCGUGCUUAACACAUGCAAGUCGAACGAUGAAGCUGGAGCUUGCUCCGGUGGAUUAGUGGCGAACGGGUGAGUAACACGUGAGAAAUCUGCCCUUGACUCUGGGAUAACUGCGGGAAACUGUAGCUAAUACCGGAUACUUUCCUCGGUGGGCAUCCACUGGGGAAGAAAGAAUUUCGGUCAAGGAUGAUCUCGCGGCCUAUCAGCUAGUUGGUGAGGUAAUGGCUCACCAAGGCGACGACGGGUAGCCGGCCUGAGAGGGUGACCGGCCACACUGGGACUGAGACACGGCCCAGACUCCUACGGGAGGCAGCAGUGGGGAAUAUUGCACAAUGGGCGCAAGCCUGAUGCAGCAACGCCGCGUGAGGGAUGAAGGCCUUCGGGUUGUAAACCUCUUUUAGCAGGGAAGAAGCGAAAGUGACGGUACCUGCAGAAAAAGCACCGGCUAACUACGUGCCAGCCGCCGCAGUAA
rnacentral:rRNA from 1 species